UCUCCGUUGGUGAACCAGCGGAGGGAUCAUUACCGAGUUUACCACUCUCAAACCCUUUGCGUACCAUACCAACUUGUUGUAUCGGCAGGGUCACGCCUCGGGUGCGUCGCACCCACGGUACCAGGCUUCCCCAGGUGGGCCCAACCCCACUCUUACUAUAGAAUCAACGCGGCCGUCAUAUUUUUAGCACUACGCAAAAAUACAAUAUGCAACAAAACUUUCAACAACGGAUCCCAUGGUUCAGGCAUCGAAGCAGAACGCAGCAGAUCGGAAGAGCAC
rnacentral:misc_RNA from 1 species